GAUGAACGCUGGCGGCGUGCCUAAUACAUGCAAGUCGAGCGAACAGAUGAGGAGCUUGCUCCUCUGACGUUAGCGGCGGACGGGUGAGUAACACGUGGAUAACCUACCUAUAAGACUGGGAUAACUUCGGGAAACCGGAGCUAAUACCGUAUAAUAUAUUGAACCGCAUGGUUCAAUAGUGAAAGACGGUUUUGCUGUCACUUAUAGAUGGAUCCGCGCCGCAUUAGCUAGUUGGUAAGGUAACGGCUUACCAAGGCAACGAUGCGUAGCCGACCUGAGAGGGUGAUCGGCCACACUGGAACUGAGACACGGUCCAGACUCCUACGGGAGGCAGCAGUAGGGAAUCUUCCGCAAGGGGCGAAAGCCUGACGGAGCAACGCCGCGUGAGUGAUGAAGGUCUUCGGACCGUAAAACUCUGUUAUUAGGGAAGAACAAAUGUGUAAGUAACUAUGCACGUCUUGACGGUACCUAAUCAGAAAGCCACGGCUAACUACGUG
rnacentral:rRNA from 1 species